UUUGAGUUACAAUUCAUUUGGGUCAGAAAAUUCAACCAAAACGACAGUCAAAUUAUAAAUUUAAAGCUGAAUCGGUUCGGUUGGACUAUAAAUUCGGUUCAAUUUAGGUUAUAAACCCUACCCUGAAUUUGUCCUUUCUGAAAUCCACCUAAAACUGACUAAAUAACAAAUAAAUUUCUCAUAAUCCCAUCAAACAAAUUUAACUAAUUAACAUAUAAGGUAUUUAUAUUUAACAAUUAACAUAAAAAAUUAACUAAUAAUUAACACAAUAUAACAGAUUAAAAUUGUGGCGGGACAGGAACGGCAGCGUGAAGAUGCGGCAGCUUCAUGAACGAACGGGGAGAUCAGAAGAAGAAGACAACUUGAAGAAGAAAAAGAAGGAUUUGGCAACGGCGGAAGACGAAGAAGACGAAGAUGAGGACGCGGCUGUAGCAGAUGAGUGGCUAGUUGGUAUUUGUGUGUGUUUGAAAAAUAUUAUGGUUAGAUAGAAUGAUAGACAUAUGGUUUAUUUUAAAUAUAUUUGAUAGACAUACGAGGAUUUGGUUGGCUGGAGGCUAAGCUUGUGAACCGUUGGCUAGCAGUGGUAGCUAGAGUUUGUAAAUGGUGGCAGCGGUUAGGGUUUGUAAAUGGCGGUGGUGGUUGUUAGGGUUUGUAGAUGGUGGCCAAGUAUUUAAUGGUGGGUAUCAAUUUGGGAAUUGAUAGCAAGAAUUAGGGAAUUUGAGGAAUUAUGGAAUAUUAGUGUUUUUUUGUGGAAUUAAUUAGUAGCGUUAUUUGCAUUUAAAGGGCUGUGGUUCUCAUGGAUUCAUUUGUAACUUCCCAGUAUGAGUAAUAAAAAAUUUCUAAAAAUUCCCAAUUUCUUUCCUGUUCAUACCCUUUUUUUAUUGGAAUUUGGGCGGGAGUCAAAUACAAGCUGGUGGGGAAGAUUACAAAUUGAAGCAAACGAGAGAUACUGUUUCCACAGAGAAGUGAUGGAACGAUCAUGUAUUUUCAAUUAUUUUAAUGAUUUUUUUCUUUGUUAAUUAUUGUUAAAGACGGGUUAUUAAUUUUUUUCAUUUAACUAGGAUUUUAG
rnacentral:lncRNA from 1 species